GCCAGGCAUGGUGGUGCAUGCCUGUAAUCCCAGCUACUUGGGAGGCUGAGGCAGGAGAAUUGCUUGAACCCAGGAGGUGGAGUUUGCAGUGAGCUGAGAUUGCACCACUGCACUCCAGCUUGGGCAACAAAGCAAGAUUCUGUCUCAA
ensembl:misc_RNA Metazoa_SRP Metazoan signal recognition particle RNA